rnacentral:rRNA from 1 species
UGGGGAAUUUUGGACAAUGGCCCAAGCCUGAUCCAGCCAUGCCGCGUGCAGGAAGAAGGCCUUCGGGUUGUAAACUGCUUUUGUCAGGGAAGAAAUCCUUUGGGUUAAUACCUCGAAGGGAUGACGGUACCUGAAGAAUAAGCACCGGCUAACUACGUGCCAGCAGCCGCGGUAAUACGUAGGGUGCGAGCGUUAAUCGGAAUUACUGGGCGUAAAGCGUGCGCAGGCGGCUUUGCAAGACAGAUGUGAAAUCCCCGGGCUCAACCUGGGAACUGCAUUUGUGACUGCAAGGCUAGAGUGCGGCAGAGGGAGAUGGAAUUCCGCGUGUAGCAGUGAAAUGCGUAGAUAUGCGGAGGAACACCGAUGGCGAAGGCAAUCUCCUGGGCCUGCACUGACGCUCAUGCACGAAAGCGUGGGGAGCAAACNGGAUUAGAUACCCUGGUAGUCCACGCCCUAAANGAUGUCAACUGGUUGUUGGACGGCUUGCUGUUCAGUAACGAAGCUAACGCGUGAAGUUGACCGCCUGGGGAGUACGGCCGCAAGGUUGAAACUCAAAUGAAUUGACGGGGUCAUAGCUGUUUCCU